CCUGAGCCUCCCAACAACCACACAAAGCCAGAUUAUUACCCUUUCCUUACAGAGGAGAAAACCAACACUCAGAGAGGGCUCCUGCUGCCAUGCUGUGAGGAAGUCCAGGCUAACUUGCAGAAGAGAAAGACCUCAUGCAGAAGAGAAAGACCUCAUGAAGAGUUUGGAGAAGAUGACAAUGGCACAUGGGAAUAAAGGCUACACAGAGGAGAACUGAGGAAAUGGGUAAAAAUGCAUCCCACGAGCAAAGGACAGCUAUCCUGUGGCGAGGAGACCAUAAGAUUUGGACCAUGGACGGACCUGGCUUCCAACUCUCACUUCCUUUUUGAAAGCUGCUGUGGGCAAGCUGCUCCCUCUGGAUUCAACCUCUGUGAAGUCAUCUGUAAAACAAGUUUGUUAAUUCCUGCCCGGAUGGGUUGUGCCCCGUGGGAUCACCUCUGUUGUGGUGGACAAAAUGAGCGGCCGCCCAGACACCCCUUCAGUGAAGGGCUUGCUGCCCGGAAUGGGGACUGCGGCUGGCAGACAGCCUGCCUCCCCUGGCUCUUCCAGGUCCGCCUCUGCUACAGAGAGAGCCUG